rfam:Brachypodium distachyon strain Bd21 chromosome 4, whole genome shotgun sequence.
AAUUUACUCCCUCCGAUCCUAAAUUGUUGUCGAAAUAUUACAUGUAUCUAGACGCUUUUUAAGAAUAGAUACAUCCAUAUUUGGGCAAAUUUGAGUCAAGAAUUUAGGAUCAGAGGGAGUAGUAU